GGGUAGCAACAAAGUAAGGUUAAGAGGCGGCGGCGGCGGCGGCGGCGGCAGCGUCAUCGGCGCGAGCAAAGCUAAGCAGCUCAGGAGGGGACGACGUCCAUUUACUCCCGCCGCGCCGUCAACCACUUGCACCACUACGCGUGUCCGUGGUGGAUGAGCCACUCGGCGUAGUUCGGGCUCUUCUUCGAGAAGAUGCGUAGGCAUCUCCUUCGCGCUUGGCGCCGCGGCGGGUACUUCUUCUAAGGCCGGUACAGCUCCUACGGGUUCGGGUUAGAGUCCGAGCUCCGCAUGGCGGACCUGCUGUACGCCGAGCUAAAGGACGGGGACAUGCCAGCGCCGCCGCUGUCGUCGUCGUCGUCGCUCUAGGAGAGGCACCUGAGCCGUCCGGUGUGGUAGGAGACGCUGCGCUCGAGACCGACGCAGGUCGGACGGGGGUCGGAGCCGCUCGGGUUCCCCCUGUCGGGGUAGAGCAAGUGGUAGCGAGCGCAGCCGCGGGGGCGGGGGCGGCGGCACCGAGACAUGCAGUACCUGUCCAAGGGGUGGCCGGCGUCGAGCACGUCGAAGCUCAGGGAGCGGAUGCCGCUCUUGUUGACGACCCUCACCUCGGCCGAGGGCGGCGGCGGGAUACAGUUGCUGGGCCGGAUGCUGACGUGGCGAUAGGUGAGGAUGUGCGACGAGUUACGUCCGAGGUGGUAGACGUAUAGGAGGAGGCCCGCGUCGGGGUAGCCCUGGAUGACGAAGCUGUGCCGAUCGGCGUUCACCUCAUUCCGACCGGCGACCCGCGACGGGAAGAUGCCGGCCCGGCUCGUACAGGGACUCGAACCGUUGGAGACCAAGCCGUACCGACUGUCGUCGGGGUUGUUGGACACGCGCAGCCUGGAGAGGUCGGAGCUGCGGCCCCGAGGGUCCUACGAUGCACUCACCGUUCAGGAGCUGGGCGGAGUCCCGACCCACGUUUAUUCCCCGACGGACGAGAUGGACCCUCGGCCGUCCAAAACGUAGUUGUUUCAAAAACUGUAACCCCUGCUCCCGUCCUGGUUCUCACUGUUAGUCCGACGACAGUACUGGCCACACCUCCACCACGUACUACUUUGUCUGGUUGAUGUCUACUAGUUUGUGUUCAGGACACAGUCGAUACGUCCGUAGGUCAAAUAGGAAAUCUAGUUAUAAUCACCGAGGAUGGUAUACUCGACAAAAGAAGAAACAGAUUGGUACAAGAAUCUGACGUCGUCAAGUGUCGUCGUACAGUACAUAUGAUUAACACGAGUCAAGGAAGAAUAUACAUAAUAUGUCAAACGACAAGGUUGAAGUAUACUGACAUUAGAAAUUGAAAAUGUACGGUUGGGG
rnacentral:rRNA from 1 species